rnacentral:rRNA from 1 species
UACGUAGGGCGCAAGCGUUGUCCGGAAUUAUUGGGCGUAAAGAGCUCGUAGGUGGCGUGUCGCGUCUGCCGUGAAAGCCCAUGGCUUAACUGUGGGUCUGCGGUGGAUACGGGCAGGCUGGAGGCUGGUAGGGGCAAGCGGAAUACCUGGUGUAGCGGUGGAAUGCGUAGAGAUCAGGUGGAACACCGAUGGCGAAGGCAGCACCCUGGACGAGUACUGACGCUGAGGCGCGAAAGCGUGGGGAGCGAACGGG